CCUACGGGUGGCAGCAGUGGGGAAUAUUGCACAAUGGGGGGAACACUGAUGCAGCGACGCCGCGUGAGUGAAGAAGUAUCUCGGUAUGUAAAGCUCUAUCAGCAGGGAAGCAAAUGACGGUACCUGACUAAGAAGCCCCGGCUAACUACGUGCCAGCAGCCGCGGUUAUAAGUAGGGGGCAAGCGUUAUCCGGAUUUACUGGGUGUAAAGGGAGCGCAGUCGGCUGUGCAAGUCUGGAGUGAAAGGCCGGGGUCCAACCCCCGGCCUGCUCUGGAAACUGUAAAGCUGGAGUGCAGGAGAGGUAAGCGGAAUUCCUAGUGUAGCGGUGAAAUGCGUAGAUAUUAGGAGGAACACCAGUGGCGAAGGCGGCUUACUGGAC
rnacentral:rRNA from 1 species